CCUACGGGAGGCAGCAGUAGGGAAUCUUCCACAAUGGGCGAAAGCCUGAUGGAGCAACGCCGCGUGGGUGAAGAAGGUCUUCGGAUCGUAAAACCCUGUUGUUAGAGAAGAAAGUGCGUGAGAGUAACUGUUCACGUUUCGACGGUAUCUAACCAGAAAGCCACGGCUAACUACGUGCCAGCAGCCGCGGUAAUACGUAGGUGGCAAGCGUUAUCCGGAUUGAUGGGGCGUAAAGGGAACGAAGGCGGUCUUUUAAGUCUGAGGUGAAAGCCUUCGGCUUAACCGGAGUAGUGCAUUGGAAACUGGGAGCCUUGAGUGCAGAAGAGGUGAGUGGAACUCCAUGUGUAGCGGUGACAUGCGUAGCUAUCUGGAAGAACACCAGUGGCGAACGCGGCUCUCUGGUCUGUAACUGACGCUGAGGUUCGAAAGCGUGGGUAGCAAACAGGAUUAGAUACCCGAGUAGUC
rnacentral:rRNA from 1 species